rnacentral:rRNA from 1 species
AACAGGAUUAGAUACCCUGGUAGUCCACCCCGUAAACGUUGGGAACUAGUUGUGGGGACCAUUCCACGGUUUCCGUGACGCAGCUAACGCAUUAAGUUCCCCGCCUGGGGAGUACGGCCGCAAGGCUAAAACUCAAAGGAAUUGACGGGGACCCGCACAAGCGGCGGAGCAUGCGGAUUAAUUCGAUGCAACGCGAAGAACCUUACCAAGGCUUGACAUAUACGAGAACGGGCCAGAAAUGGUCAACUCUUUGGACACUCGUAAACAGGUGGUGCAUGGUUGUCGUCAGCUCGUGUCGUGAGAUGUUGGGUUAAGUCCCGCAACGAGCGCAACCCUCGUUCUAUGUCGCCAGCACGUAAUGGUGGGAACUCAUGGGAUACUGCCGGGGUCAACUCGGAGGAAGGUGGGGAUGACGUCAAAUCAUCAUGCCCCUUAUGUCUUGGGCUUCACGCAUGCUACAAUGGCCGGUACAAAGGGCUGCAAUACCGUAAGGUGGAGCGAAUCCCAAAAAGCCGGUCCCAGUUCGGAUUGAGGUCUGCAACUCGACCUCAUGAAGUCGGAGUCGCUAGUAAUCGCAGAUCAGCAACGCUGCGGUGAAUACGUUCCCGGGUCUUGUACACACCGCCCGUCAAGUCAUGAAAGUCGGUAACACCUGAAGCCGGUGGCCCAACCCUUGUGGAGGGAGCCGUCGAAGGUGGGAUCGGUAAUUAGGACUAAGUCGUAACAAGGUA